AAAGAAAUUUAACUUAAUUUUAUUAAAAUAUUGAACAGACAACUUUCUCACCAAGUUCACAAUAAAACGUUUAACCUCCUGAAAGAGACAUGAUAAACAAAUACAAAUUAGUUUCCAAAUCAUUUUAAAUAUUUAAGACAACUGCCAAAUGUCCAGCUCAUGAUAACCUACCCAUGACAGGACCGAUGAGAAUGUGUUGGUAUCUACAGAUCAUUUUACUCAGAGCUAGGAAACCAUUGUGUUUACUGUUGGAACAUAACCAUUGCUUUUGCUAAAAUGUGCAAAAUUUUCCAUCAUCACUUCUGCUCGCUGUCUGACAGGCUAUAAUUCCUCCCAAAAAAAAAAGACCCCCCCAAAAAAAAAACAAAGACGAUAGAAAGAAGUUAAAGACGACAAAGACAACAAAAAAAGACAUCAAUUUCCCA
rnacentral:misc_RNA from 1 species